rnacentral:rRNA from 1 species
AGCGAACGCUGGCGGCAGGCCUAACACAUGCAAGUCGAACGAAGUCUUCGGACUUAGUGGCGGACGGGUGAGUAACACGUGGGAACGUGCCUUUAGGUUCGGAAUAACUCAGGGAAACUUGUGCUAAUACCGAACGUGCCCUUCGGGGGAAAGAUUUAUCGCCUUUAGAGCGGCCCGCGUCUGAUUAGCUAGUUGGUGAGGUAAAGGCUCACCAAGGCGACGAUCAGUAGCUGGUCUGAGAGGAUGAUCAGCCACAUUGGGACUGAGACACGGCCCAAACUCCUACGGGAGGCAGCAGUGGGGAAUCUUGCGCAAUGGGCGAAAGCCUGACGCAGCCAUGCCGCGUGAAUGAUGAAGGUCUUAGGAUUGUAAAAUUCUUUCACCGGGGACGAUAAUGACGGUACCCGGAGAAGAAGCCCCGGCUAACUUCGUGCCAGCAGCCGCCGUAA